GGAGCAGUCUCGUCUCUUAGAGCCGUAUCUGAUAUGUCGCUUCGUGUCCUGGCUCACCGAGAUCAUUUGUAUUUUCGUCCUGUGUCUGAUUCACAAGCUGCUUAUCGGAUGGUAUUUGGGCAUGUUGAUGUUUAUCAUACUAGAAAUCUAUUUCUUCAUCGUGGUGUACAGUUACUAUGUAAACUUGGCUGACUAUGAAAGGGCUGAAUGCAGGAAGAGUCGCGUCAGACCGUGCGACACGUGUCCCUGAUAUUAGCAAAAUGAUUUCAUUUAAUAAAUAUGAUGUCUAUAUUU